rnacentral:lncRNA from 1 species
GCCCAUCAAAGUCCUCAGUCUUCACUCUUCUUCUUCUUCUUUUUCUCUUUCUUCUUGCUAGGCUCUUUGGUUUCCUCUUCGGGUUCAGCAUGCUUUCUCUUUUUCUUCUUUUUUUCUCCUGCUUCACCUUCAUUUUGCAAUUCAUCAUUCUCGGCUGAGUGCUUCUUCUUUUUCUUCUUUUCCUUUUUCACCACCUCUUCACUUUCUGGUUCUGCAUCACCAACUACAUCAUUUGGCAAGCUGGCAUCCUCUACAUCGGCCUUUUUCUUUUUUUUCUUUUCUUUCUUUUCUUUCUUCUCUUCAACCACAACAAGGGUGUCCUCGGGUUGAGAUGGCUCUACUUCCUUCUUCCUCUUUUUUGGGAUCAUUUCUUCCUCUUCCCUGGCUGCUGAAUCUUCUAUCCUUCCAAGAACAGAGUCUGCCGCUGGAUUGUAA